rnacentral:rRNA from 1 species
CAAGUCGAGCGAUGAAACUACUUCGGUAGUGAAUUAGCGGCGAACGGGUGAGGAACACGUGAGGAAUCUGCCUUCAACACUGGGAUAACUCCGGGAAACCGGGGCUAAUACCGGAUACGAGCCUUGAUCGCAUGAUCGAGGCUGGAAAGUUUUUCGGUUGAAGAUGACCUCGCGGCCUAUCAGCUUGUUGGUGAGGUAAUGGCUCACCAAGGCGACGACGGGUAGCCGGCCUGAGAGGGCGACCGGCCACACUGGGACUGAGACACGGCCCAGACUCCUACGGGAGGCAGCAGUGGGGAAUAUUGGGCAAUGGAGGAAACUCUGACCCAGCGACGCCGCGUGCGGGAUGAAGGCCUUCGGGUUGUAAACCGCUUUCAGUAGGGAAGAAGCGAAAGUGACGGUACCUACAGAAGAAGCACCGGCUAACUAUGUGCCAGCAGCCGCGGUAAUACAUAGGGUGCAAGCGUUGUCCGGAAUUAUUGGGCGUAAAGAGCUCGUAGGUGGUUUGAUACGUCGGGUGUGAAAUUCAGGGGCUCAACCCCUGACCUGCAUUCGAUACGGUCAAGCUAGAGUUUGGUAGGGGAGACUGGAAUUCCUGGUGUAGCGGUGGAAUGCGCAGAUAUCAGGAGGAACACCGAUGGCGAAGGCAGGUCUCUGGGCCAAUACUGACACUGAGGAGCGAAAGCGUGGGGAGCGAACAGGAUUAGAUACCCUGGUAGUCCACGCCGUAAACGGUGGGCGCUAGUUGUGCGAACCUUCCACGGUUUGUGCGACGCGGCUAACGCAUUAAGCGCCCCGCCUGGGGAGUACGAUCGCAAGAUUAAAACUCAAAGGAAUUGACGG